UGGGCAACCUGCCCCUCUCUCUGGGAUAACCCCGGGAAACCGGAGCUAAUACCGGAUACUCCGGCUGGAUCGCAUGGUCCGGCCGGGAAAGGUCCGCCGGAGAGGGAUGGGCCCGCGGCCUAUCAGCUUGUUGGUGGGGUCAUGGCUCACCAAGGCGACGACGGGUAGCUGGUCUGAGAGGACGACCGGCCACACUGGAACUGAGAUACGGUCCAGACUCCUACGGGAGGCA
rnacentral:rRNA from 1 species